ACAUAGUGUGAAAAUGAGAUGCAGUGUUUUCCACAGAAUUUAUCUGUAUUUGUGGUGGUAGGUUUGCAGAAUUAACUUGAAUGCAACAGUUUUUAACAAAUGAGUGCAGU